GUCCGAAUCACACAGAACCACGCGAGACCUCAAAACGAUAAGUUAUUGGCAAUAUGGCGGCACAGAGUAGAAUAUUGAUUACGUUUUAAGGGAGACAGGGGUUUUAGGCAGGAUUUGAUUCAUGAUGUGUGUGUAGAUAUUAAUGUUAGGGGACAAUGUGAGAGUGUACGUUUUAGUAGGAAAACGUAUUAUCUGACCCACACUCCGGAACAGAAGAGGGCGGUAAUGCACCAAUAAGCUGGAUGCCAACCGCCGUUAAACUGGAAAGAAGACGAAUAUGACAGCUUGCUGUGAGAGACAACUGGACAGAUGAGACACAUAUGUGUUUAUCUGCUGCAGAGACACUGAUGAAGGAAUGCUACCAUCAAAGGAUUUGUGACAUGAACAUGUCUGUAGACUGGCUCCAUCACUCCAGCUCUUACCGUCUCAUCAGGACCAGAUGCUGCUCUGGUGUCUUCAUCCUCAGUGACCCCAGAGCCAGUGAGAGCAUCUAGGGAAAGACCACAAGACACUGAGCAUGUGAUUUGGGUAGUCGUGCUCAUGGGGUGCAGGCACACGAAAGUUUGGAGCAGACACAGCAGUCAGAUUGUCCUGCACGUCUUCCCCUGCUCUAGCUUCAAGGUUGUGUGGUUCAGAGAGCCGUCAUCAAGGUCUUCCUCAUCCUGUUGCUCAACGACAUCCCCAUUGAGAAGAGUGAGAUUGUGAAGUGCAGCGGCAGAACUGUAUCACCUGUGUUCAGAUGGCAGGAGGAUCACUGUGUCACAAAAGAAAAUACAUUUGGCUUCUUUUACUAAAAUGUAAUUUUAA